rnacentral:rRNA from 1 species
AUGAACGCUGGCGGCGUGCUUAACACAUGCAAGUCGAACGGGAUCUAGGAAGUGCUUGCACUUUUUGGUGAGAGUGGCGAACAGGUGAGUAACACGUGAGUAACCUGUCCUUUUCUUUGGGAUAAGCUCCUGAAAGGGUGUUUAAUACCUUAUGUUCUGUCUGCCUCGCAUGGGGUGGGUGGGAAAGAUUUUUUCGGUGAAGGGUGGGCUCGCGGUCUAUCAGCUUGUUGGUGGGGUGAUGGCUUACCAAGGCUUUGACGGGUAGCCGGCCUGAGAGGGUGGUGGGCAAAAUUGGGAUUGGGAUACGGCCCAGACUCCGGGGGGGGGAAGCGGGGGGGGAUAUUGCACAAGGGGGGAAAGCCUGAUGCAGCGACGCCGGGGGGGGGAUGAAGGCCUUGGGGUUUUAAACUUUUUUUGCUUGGAAAAAGGGGCACCAUGGGGUGUGUUGAGUGUAGGGGUUGAUUAGCGCCGGCAAACUACGU